AUUGAACGCUGGCGGCAGGCCUAACACAUGCAAGUCGAACGAGUGGCGGAAGGGUGAGUAAUGUAUGGGAAAGGGCCUGAUGGAGGGGGAUAACUAAUGGAAACGGUAUCUAAAAACGCAUACCAUCAGAUGGGCCCAGAGGGGAUUAGCUAGUUGGUGGGGUAACGGCUCACCAAGGCGACGAUCCCUAGCUGGUCUGAGAGGAUGACCAGCCACACUGGAACUGAGACACGGUCCAGACUCCUACGGGAGGCAGCAGUGGGGAAUAUUGGACAAUGGGCGCAAGCCUGAUGCAGCCAUGCCGCGUGUAUGAAGAAGGUCUUCGGAUUGUAAAGCACUUUCAGCUGGGAGGCGUUACCCGCAGAAGAAGCACCGGCUAACUCCGUGCCAGCAGCCGCGGUAAUAC
rnacentral:rRNA from 1 species